AUGCAUGUCUCAGUACAAGCCAAAUUAAGGUGAAACCGCGAAAGGCUCAUUAAAUCAGUUAUGGUUCCUUAGAUCGUACCCACAUUUACUUGGAUAACUGUGGUAAUUCUAGAGCUAAUACAUGCAAACAGAGCUCCGACCGGAGACGGAAGGAGCGCUUUUAUUAGAUCAAAACCAAUCGGCGGCGGGUUCGCUCGUCGUCGUACAUUUUGGUGACUCUGAAUAACUUUUUGCUGAUCGCACGGUCUAGCACCGGCGACGCAUCUUUCAAAUGUCUGCCUUAUCAACUGUCGAUGGUAGGUUCUGCGCCUACCAUGGUUGUAACGGGUAACGGGGAAUCAGGGUUCGAUUCCGGAGAGGGAGCCUGAGAAACGGCUACCACAUCCAAGGAAGGCAGCAGGCGCGCAAAUUACCCACUCCCGGCACGGGGAGGUAGUGACGAAAAAUAACGAUACGGGACUCAUCCGAGGCCCCGUAAUCGGAAUGAGUACACUCUAAACCCUUUAACGAGGAUCAAUUGGAGGGCAAGUCUGGUGCCAGCAGCCGCGGUAAUUCCAGCUCCAAUAGCGUAUAUUAAAGUUGUUGCGGUUAAAAAGCUCGUAGUCGAAUCUGUGUCUCGCGCCGCCGGUUCAUCGCUCGCGGUGUUUAACUGGCGUGCCGCGGGACGUCCUGCCGGUGGGCUUAGCCUUUCGGGGCGGCCCAACUUGAAAUCCCACCGCGGUGCUCUUCACUGAGUGUCGAGGUGGGCCGGCACGUUUACUUUGAACAAAUUAGAGUGCUUAAAGCAGGCUCAAACUUCGCCUGAAUACUGUGUGCAUGGAAUAAUGGAAUAGGACCUCGGUUCUAUUUUGUUGGUUUUCGGAACCCCGAGGUAAUGAUUAAUAGGAACGGAUGGGGGCAUUCGUAUUGCGACGUUAGAGGUGAAAUUCUUGGAUCGUCGCAAGACGGACAGAAGCGAAAGCAUUUGCCAAAAACGCUUUCAUUGAUCAAGAACGAAAGUUAGAGGUUCGAAGGCGAUCAGAUACCGCCCUAGUUCUAACCAUAAACGAUGCCAGCUAGCGAUCCGCCGACGUUCCUCCGAUGACUCGGCGGGCAGCUUCCGGGAAACCAAAGCUUUUGGGUUCCGGGGGAAGUAUGGUUGCAAAGCUGAAACUUAAAGGAAUUGACGGAAGGGCACCACCAGGAGUGGAGCCUGCGGCUUAAUUUGACUCAACACGGGAAACCUCACCAGGCCCGGACACCGGAAGGAUUGACAGAUUGAGAGCUCUUUCUUGAUUCGGUGGGUGGUGGUGCAUGGCCGUUCUUAGUUGGUGGAGCGAUUUGUCUGGUUAAUUCCGAUAACGAACGAGACUCUAGCCUGCUAACUAGGCGUAUUUUCGACAUCUCAAAGGCCCGCCGGCCCGGCGCUCACGCGUCGCGGUCGCGCGCGGUUUUUACUGUCGGCGUACAAUCAAUUCUUCUUAG
rnacentral:rRNA from 1 species